UCCUACAAGAUUGAAUGAAUUUUAUCUAUAUCAUGAUUUCCUAAGAAUUCUUUUCAUUAUUUAUUUAAGAGGAGAUUUGUUAAAAUGAAUCAUGAUUUCUCUUGAUUUCUUGGAAUUAUAACUUAAAAAUUCUUUUUAUAAAUCAAGAUUGUCUACUAUGAUUAUUUCUUUUCUCAAUUUGAGUUAUCGAAAAAGAAUCAUAAUAAUUUGAAUGAGCUUUAUCUUGAUUUCUCAUGAUUUAUGACUUGAAAUUGUUUAUGAAUUAAGAUCUUAUUUUUUGAACUCCCAUAUUUCUUCUUAUCGUUUACUAAAGAAGAAAAUUUCCUAAAUGAAUUAUGAUUUUUCGAAAUUAUAAUUUUUAUGAUUCAUAAUGAAUUGAGAGAUUUUAUAUGCAUAUCUUAUUCUCCUACAAGAUUGAAUGAAUUUUAUCUAUAUCAUGAUUUCCUAUGAAUUCUUUUUGUUAUUUAUUUAAAAGGAGAUUUGUUAAAAUGAAUCAUGGUUUCUCUUGAUUUCUUGGAAUUAUAACUUAAAAAUUCAUUUUAUAAACCAAGAUUGUCUACUAUGAUUAUUUCUUUUCUCAAUUUGAGUUAUCGAAAAAAAAUCAUAAUAAUUUGAAUGAGCUUUAUCUUGAUUUCUCAUGAUUUAUGACUUGAAUUUGUUUAUGAAUUAAGAUCUUAUUUUUUGAACUCCCAUAUUUCUUCUUAUCGUUUACUAAAGAAGAAAAUUUUCUAAAUGAAUUAUGAUUUUUCGAAAUUAUAAUUUUUAUGAUUCAUAAUGAAUUGAGAGAUUUUAUAUGCAUAUUUUAUUCUCCUACAAGAUUGAAUGAAUUUUAUCUAUAUCAUGAUUUCCUAAGAAUUCUUUUUGUUAUUUAUUUAAAAAGAGAUUUGUUAAAAUGAAUCACAGUUUCUCUUGAUUUCUUGGAAUUAUAACUUGAAAAUUCUUUUUAUAAAUCAAGAUUGUCUACUAUGAUUCUUUCUUUUUACUAUUUGAGUUAUCCAAAAAGAAUUACAAUAUGUCUCUUGAUAUUCAUAAUUUGUCUUCAUGAUUUGUAUAUCUUGUUGGUGUCAACAACCUUAAGCCGUGGCCUUGGGACCAACGCGGCUUGGUUCGGGUCCGAAUGAUUGGGGAUCUUCCUGGGCAACCCUUAAGACUGUUGAGGUGGCCGACUACGGUGGUCCGAUCACGACGGGACAGCUGUUUCCUCUGGAAGGGAACUCCUCGCUUGGGCACGUGGUGGAAGGCGCUCCGUCUUCGUCCUUGCACACAGGUCGGGUCGGGAGGCUCGACCCGAUCCCUCCGACGAUCAAAUCAGUGGACGGUCACAGGGGGUUUUUCUCACCUGAUUCUCCUCCUCCACUCUUUCUUAGCGCGAGGGUUUUUAUAGGGAAGGUUACCGUUGCCUGAUGUGCCCGUUUGAAGGGAGCAGGAUAGUACUCCUGGUAACUGAUGAUAGAUAAUCCAAAUAAUUGGAUUCCCUUGUAUCGUUUGGGGACUGUGGUGUAGUGGCCUAUCGUCUGCAGUCGAUGAGUCGAGCGAAUUAUUAUGAAGAUAAUAAUAAUUCACUGAGCCAGAAAGAGUUCUGACAAGUAUGACUCACAACCAGCUCAAUAUUAGGCUUAGAGGGUCACACACAUAUGGUAGGUGUUGCGACGAGUUGAGGUUCAGAUAUGAGAUAUCCGUUGGAGCCUCUAUCUUAUUGGAUAUCCAAUAAGCCCCUGAAUUAUUGGAUCAAAUGGAUAAGAUCUAAUAAAAGCUAACAAGAGAUUAUUGAGUAGAGACCCACUAAUCUAAGAGGCUUGGGUAAUUGUAUAGAGAUCCAGUACCCAAUAGAGCAUGAUCUAUUAGAGUUAACUAGGGGCCUCUAUAAAUAUGAGGGAACUAAAGGCCCAAAAGUUGAGACUUCUUAGGUAGUCACCUCCUAUUCUCCUCUCCUCUUCUCCUCCUCAAAUAGUAGGCUUGGAGAUUUGAGGAGCGUUGUUACAGUUCUACUGUGUGGAUCACCUCUAGAGCGGAGGACGCUUGACCUCCUUCAUUCACUCCUAUAGAUUUGUAAGGAUUCAGGGAUAUACGAUCUCCCUAUGUAACACAACUAUCUCACACGUGGUUUUCUUUGUCGUUUAUUUUGCACACAAAUCUUUGCACGAUAACGAAUAUAUUAUUAGAAAAUAUUAGAGAUUUUGUUUUCUGUUCUUCCGUUGCACAUAUAAUCUCGUACCCUAGAUUUCCCAACAAGAUCAUGAGCCAAAACUUUAAAUUUAUAUUUAAAAUAAUAUUUAUGAAUAAAAUAAAUAAUAUGAGGAGUAUUUAUCGAUUCAUGCACAUUAUUUUGGAUAUAAAUUGAUAUGCAUGAACUAGACUUAUUAUCCACUUUAUUCAUGAAUAAAGUAGACAUUAUCCAAAAUAAUAUGCAUGAAUAUUGAAUAAAGAUGUAUAUCCAAAAUUUAUUUAAAUCGAUUCAGAAAAUAAAAUGACAUGAGAAUGCAUGAACCUAAAAUGGUACAUAAACAUAGUAGACAGCCAACCAUACUAUUGCCAUUGAAGUUGCCAACCAACGAAGGUGCCAAUGUAUAUAUGUAUAUAUGUAUAUAUGUAUAUGUAUAUACAUGUAUAUAUGUAUAUAUGUAUAUAUACAUAUACAUGUAUAUAUACAUAUACAUAUGUAUAUAUACAUAUCCAAGAAAGUCACCAAUGUAACUCCCACCGUCGACUGGAGGCAGACGGGUGCCGUCACUGCUAUCAAAGACCAAGGCAAAUGCGGAAGUUGCUGGGCCUUCUCGACAGUAGUUUCGGUGGAGGGAAUAAACCAGAUCAGAAUCAGGAAGUUGCUGGGCCUUCGUCUUUGCCUAUGACUGAUGUGUUGUUAAAUAUUAUGAUUUUUUUCCCAUAUUUUGAUUGAAGAUUCCAUACGAUGAUUUGGUUCCUGUGUUGAAAUAUACUAUAAACCAUAAUAUGCAUAUGGAAAGUGUGAAGAGA